GGGAUGCCGCCCUCCCUAGGGCUGCUCUGGGGCUGUGGGGACACGGCCAUGGGGUCGUGGCACGGUUGGGUUGGGAGGGACCGUAUGGAUCACAGAACUGUGGGAUCACGGCACGAAUUGGGUUGAAGGGACCCUACGGAUCGUAGAGUCACGUCAUGGUUGGGUUGGAGGGGUCCCUAUAGAUUGCAGAAUCACCGAAUCACGGCACGGUUUGGGUCGGAAGGGGCCCUAUAGAUCACAGAAUCACCGAAUCACGGCACGGUUUGGGUCGGAAGGGGCCCUAUAGAUCACAGAAUCACCGAAUCACGGCACGGUUUGGGUUGGGAGAGGCCCUAUAGAUCACAGAAUCACCGAAUCACGGCACGGUUUGGGUCAGAAGGGGCCCUAUAGAUCACAGAAUCACCAAAUCACUGCACGGUUUGGGUCGGAAGGGGCCCUAUAGAUCACCUCACUGCACCUCCCGCUGCUGGCAGGGCCGGCUCGCAGCACACCGGACUGCUCAGAGCCCCAUCCCCCCUGGGGAGGGGUCACCCACAGCCCCCCCAUGCCCUGUCCCAACCUCUGCCCCCCCUCACAGUGAAGAAUUCCCUCCUAACAUCCGCUCUAGUCCUCCCCUCUCCCAGCUCAAAGCCAUUUCCCCUUAUCCUGUCGCUACCCGCCCUUGUAAGAAGUCCUUCCUAGCUUCCCCCCCCCCACCCCCCCCAGGUCCUGGCAGGGCUAUAAUGGGCUGUAAUGCCCCUUCCCCAGGCUGCACAGCCCCAGCUCUCAGCUAUAAUGCCCCUUCCCCAGGCUGCACAGCCCCAGCUCUCAGCCUGUCCCUGUUUUGGAGGUGCUCCAUCCUCUGCUCACCUCUGUGACGCACCAACAGCUCCGUGUCCUUCUGCUGCUGGGGGCUCAGACCUGAAUGCAGCGUUCCCGAUGGGGGCUCAGGAGAGCAGAGGGGCAGGACCCCCCCCCAUCCCCCCCCCAUCCCCCCCCAACCCCCCCAUCCCCCACCCUGCUGGCUGCACUGCUCCCAAAGCAAGGCAGGAUUUGGGCAGCCCUCUUUCAUCGACCCACACCCCCAAACCCUCCUCACAGCCCUGCUGAAGCCAUGCUGCUUACCACCAACCACCCCAUCCUUCUUUUCCGUGACCCCCCUGUGUGCCCCACAGUCCCGCAGGCACAGAGGGGAAACCUCUGCUGUGCAGUUCUCCCCCCCCCCCCCCCCCCCCCAUUUUUCCCCUUCCUGGGAACGGGAGCUGUGUGUCCCCUUUUCCAACCCAUGGGAAUGUCUCCCAAUGCCACCACCUUCCGAAUACGAUGGAGGGCAGCGUGGCGGCAUCACCCCGCAGCUCCCCCUGAACCCAUGGAGGGAUCUCGUCGGCCCCAUAGCACCUUCAGGCCCUACAGCUGCUUUCAGACCUCAUCUUUGGGGGGCAGAUCGUCCUUCUCUCAGUUCCUUCCUUUGCUCUCUGCAGUUUGGGCGCUGCGGGCAGAGGAGGCAUUGAGCACCGCUGCUUUCUGUGUGUGCCUCAUGAUGCUGUGAGCUGUGGGUCGGGAUGGGCCCUAUAGACCACAGAAUCGCGUGGUUGGGUUGAAAGGGACCCUGUAGGUCAUAGAACCAUGGGAUCACUGAGUGGUUGGGAUGGGAGGACCCUAUGGAUCAUAAAACCAUGGGAUCACUGAGUGGUUGGGUUGACAGGGACCCUAUAGAUCAUAAAACCAUGGGAUCACUGAGUGGUUGGGAUGGGAGGACCCUAUGGAUCAUAAAACCAUGGGAUCACUGAGUGGUUGGGUUGAAAGGGACCUUAUAGGUCAUAGAACCAUGGGAUCACUGAGUGGUUGGGAUGAGAGGACCCCAUCGAUCAUAGAACCAUGGGAUCACUGAGUGGUUGGGACGGGAGGACCCUAUGGAUCAUAAAACCAUGGGAUCACUGAGUGGAGUGGUUGGGUUGAAAGGGACCCUAUAGAUCACAGAAUAACAUUGUUGGGUUGGAGGGGCCCUAUAGAUCACUGAACCGAGGGAUCACAACACGGGUGUGUUGGAAGGGACCCUAUAGAUGACAGAAUCACAUCCUUGGGUUGGAACAGACCAUAUAGAUCACAGAACAAUGGGAUCACAGCUAGGGUGGGUUGGAAGGGACCCUAUAGAUCACAGAAUCACAUCGUUGGGUUGAAGGGGCCCUAUAGAUCACAGAACCACGGGAUCACAGCACGGGUGGGUUGGAGGGAUCCUAUGGAUCACAGGCAACGGAUGCACAGCACGGUUGCUUUGGAGAGGCCCUAUAGACCACAGACCCAUAGAAUCGCAGCACGGGCGGCUCGGAGGGACCCUACGGUCCCCAGAACCGCGGCAUCACAGCGCCGUUGCGUUGGGAGGGACCUCAAACCCCCGCAGUCCCACCCGGCGCAGCGCUGCCCGCAGCCGCCGCUGCGCGGCUCCCGGUGGCCACGCGGUGCCGCUGCCGCUCUCUACGUGGGGCCGCCCCCCGUUUCCCCCCCCCCCUCCCCCCCCCCCUUUCCCGAUUCGUAGCGCUGCCGUCAGCUCCGCGUCAGCGCGAGCGGAGGUUGGGAUCUCCCCGAUAACAACAGGAAAAGAAAAGCGACAAAAACUCAAAUCCCAAAUAACCGCUUUCGGGGGACGGGAAACCGCAGAGGCGCGGAGCGCAGCGGACGGUCGCGGCUCCGGGCAACGGGCAAACAAACAGCGCGGCGACGGACGGCCGCGGGACCCGGCGGGCCCAACCGCUCCGCGGGGCAGAACCGAACCGGAGCGGCGGGCCGUCCUUCCGGCCGAGAGAGCCGCGCUGCUGCUCGGGUGGUGCUCGGAGCCGCCGCCAACCGGAGCCUCUGCGGGCCGAAAGCCAUUGAGAAACCCCCGGAGGGCCCAAAGCCCCAUUGAGAAAACUCUCAUAGACCCAAAAACCCAUUGAGAAAACUCCCGUAGGGCCCAAAACCCAUCGAGAAAACUGCAAUGGACCCAAAACCCGUUGAAAAAAAAAAAACCUUCUACAGACACAAAAGCCGCUGAGAAAACUCCCGCGGGGCCCAAACCCCAUCGGGAAAAUUCCUCUGGACCCAAAACCCAUUGGGAAAACUCUCAUGGAUCCAAAACCCAUUGAAAAAAAGUCCUAUAGACCCAAAACCCAUUGAGAACCGCCCCCCCCCCAGGGCCCACACCCCAUUGAGAAAACUCCAAUGGACACAAAAUCCGUGGAGAAAACCCCCAUCGACCCCAAACCCCAUUGAGAAAACUCCCACAGACCCAAAACUCAUUGAAAAAGAAAACUUCUACAGAGCCAAAAUCCACUGAGAAAAAUCCUACAGACCCCAAAACCCAUUGGGAAAACUCCUACGGACACAAAACCUAUCAAGAAAAUACCCAUACACCCAAAACUCAUUGAGAAAAACUUCUAUAGACCCAAAUCCUAUUGGGAAAAAAUCCUACUGACCCAAAACCCACUGAGAAAACUCCCACAGGGCCCAGACCCCAUUGGGAAAACUCCUACGGACACAAAACCCGUUAAGAACCCCCCACCCCCACAGGGCCCAAAACCCAAUGAGAAAACCUCCAUACACCCAAACCCCAUUGAGAAAACUCCCACGGGGCCCAGACCCCAUUAGGACAUCUUUGAUGGAUACAAAACCCAUUGAGAAAAAUCCCGUACACCCAAACCCCACUGAGAAAACCCCCAUCGACCCCAAACCCCAUUGAGAAAACUCCCACAGACCCAAAACUCAAUGAAAAAGAAAACUUCUACAGAGCCAAAAUCCACUGAGAAAAAUCCUACAGACCCCAAACCCACUGAGCAAAUUCCCACAGGGCCCAAACCCCAUUGGGAGAACUCCUAUGGACCCGAAACCCAUUGAGAAAACUCCCAUAGACCCAAAUCCUAUUGGGAAAAAUCCUACUGACCCAAAACCCACUGAGAAAACUCCCACAGACCCAAAACCUAUUGGGAAAAUCCUACUGACCCAAAACCCAUUGAGAAAAUUCCCACAGGGCCCAAAACCCAUUGAGAAAUCUCCCAUACACCCAAACCCCAUUGAGAAAAGUCCCACGGGGCCCAAAUCCCAUUGGGAAAACUCCGAUGGACACAAAACCCAUUGAGAAAACCCUCCUGGACCCGAAACCCAUUGAGAAAACUUCUACAGACCCAAAACCCACUGAGAAAAAUCCUACAGGGAUUAGGGUUAGGGUUAGGGUUAGAGUUAUGGGGUCAGGGUUAGGGUUAGAGUUAUGGGGUCAGGGUUAGGGUUAGCGUUAUGGGAUCAGGGUUAGGGUUAGCGUUAUGGGGUCAGGGUUAGGGUUACUGUUAUGGGGUCAGGGUUAGGGUUAGAGUUAUGGGGUCAGGGUUAGGGUUAGAGUUAUGGGGUCAGGAUUAGGGUUAGCAUUAUGGGGUCAGGGUUAGGGUUGGGGUUAGGGUUAGAGUGUUAGGGUCAGGUUUCAGUUUAGGACUGGUGUUGGGUAUGGGGUUGGGGUCGAGGUUGAUUUAUAGGGUCAGAGUUAUGGGGUUAGAGUUAUAGGGACAGGGAUACGGUUUGGGUUAGAGUUAUAGGGUCAGGACUGGUUGGGGUUAGGGUCUGUGUCAGCAUCAGGUUAGGGUUAGGAUCAUAGGGUGAGGGUUGGGUUAUAGGGUCAGGGUUAGGGUCAGGGCCAAGGUUAGGGUUAGGGUUACAGGGUCAGAGUUGGG
ensembl:lncRNA